CUUUUAGACAACGACGCAGUUCCUGCUGUUGUCGUUCAGUUGGUGUACAACAUGGAGAAGAGGUUCCAGGAGAUUUCAAUUUUAUGUCUAGGGGUGAAUUCCCUAAUUUAUAGUGAAUCUCAGAAAUGUGCUUUAAGAAGAUAUAUGCAGAAGCUCAAACUGAAGGUCCCGAACAGAAGCACGAUCACUGUUUAAUGAAGUACACUCGGCUUCAAUUGGUGCACACACAGGCACUGUUAAAACCAGAUCCUCAAUGUACUCCAGAAAUUAUUGGGAUGGCAUGACAGUGGACAUUGACUGAUGGGUAUGUGA